rnacentral:rRNA from 1 species
GAGUUUGAUCAUGGCUCAGAACGUACGCUGGCGGCACGCCUUAUACAUGCAAGUCGAACGCAGUAGCAAUACUGAGUGGCAAACGGGUGAGUAUAAUGUGGGAAUCUGCCUUUUGGUUUGGAAUAACACGAGGAAACUUGUGCUAAUACCGGAUAAGCCUUCACAGGGAAAGUUUUAUACGCCAAAAGAUGAGCCCGCACUUGAUUAGAUAGUUGGUGAGGUAAAAGCUCACCAUGUCAACGAUCAAUAGCUGGUCUGAGAGGACGAUCAGCCACAUUGGGACUGAGACACGGCCCAGACUCCUACGGGAGGCAGCAGUAAGGAAUCUUGCACAAUGGGGGAAACCCUGAUGCAGCGAUGCCGCGUGAGUGAAGAAGGCCUUUGGGUUGUAAAACUCUUUCGUCGGGGAAGAAAAUGACUGUACCCGAAUAAGAAGGUCCGGCUAACUUCGUGCCAGCAGCCGCGGUAAUACGAAGGGACCUAGCGUAGUUCGGAAUUACUGGGCUUAAAGAGCUCGUAGGUGGUUAAAAAAGUUGAUGGUGAAAUCCCAAGGCUCAACCUUGGAACAGCCAUCAAAACUUUUUAGCUAGAGUAUGAUAGAGGAAAGUGGAAUUUCUAGUGUAGAGGUGAAAUUCGUAGAUAUUAGAAAGAACACCAAAUGCGAAAGCAACUUUCUGGAUCAUUACUGACACUGAGGAGCGAAAGCAUGGGUAGCGAAGAAGAUUAGAUACCCUCGUAGUCC